UACGUAGGGUGCGAGCGUUGUCCGGAAUUAUUGGGCGUAAAGAGCUCGUAGGCGGUCUGUCGCGUCGAUCGUGAAAACUUGGGGCUUAACCCUGAGCUUGCGGUCGAUACGGGCAGACUGGAGUACUGCAGGGGAGACUGGAAUUCCUGGUGUAGCGGUGGAAUGCGCAGAUAUCAGGAGGAACACCGGUGGCGAAGGCGGGUCUCUGGGCAGUAACUGACGCUGAGGAGCGAAAGCGUGGGGAGCGAACAGG
rnacentral:rRNA from 1 species